rnacentral:tRNA from 1 species
GUGUCCGUAGCUCAGCUGGAUAGAGCAACAGCCUUCUAAGCUGUGGGCCGUGGGUUCGAAUCCCUCCGGGCACACCA